UACGUAGGUGGCGAGCGUUGUCCGGAUUUAUUGGGCGUAAAGAGCGUGUAGGCGGCUAGGUAGGUCCGUUGUGAAAACUCGAGGCUCAACCUCGAGACGCCGAUGGAAACCAUCUAGCUAGAGUCCGGAAGAGGAGAGUGGAAUUCCUGGUGUAGCGGUGAAAUGCGCAGAUAUCAGGAAGAACACCCGUGGCUAAGGCGGCUCUCUAGUACGGUACUGACGCUGAGACGCGAAAGCGUGGGGAGCGAACAGG
rnacentral:rRNA from 1 species